rnacentral:rRNA from 1 species
CAGCAACCGCGGUAAUACGGAGGGUGCAAGCGUUAAUCGGAAUUACUGGGCGUAAAGCGCACGCAGGCGGUCUGUCAAGUCAGAUGUGAAAUCCCCGGGCUUAACCUGGGAACUGCAUUUGAAACUGGCAGGCUAGAGUCUUGUAGAGGGGGGUAGAAUUCCAGGUGUAGCGGUGAAAUGCGUAGAGAUCUGGAGGAAUACCGGUGGCGAAGGCGGCCAUCUGGGACAACACUGACGCUGAGGCACGAAAGCGUGGGGAGCAAACAGGAUUAGAUACCCCGGUAGUCCCUGUCUCUUAUAC